rnacentral:rRNA from 1 species
UACAGAGGGUGCGAGCGUUGUUCGGAAUUAUUGGGCGUAAAGCGCUUGUAGGCGGCUUGUUAAGUCGGGGGUGAAAUCCCGGGGCUCAACCCCGGAACUGCCUUCGAUACUGGGUAUCUUGAGUUCGGAAGAGGUGAGUGGAAUUGCGAGUGUAGAGGUGAAAUUCGUAGAUAUUCGCAGGAACACCAGUGGCGAAGGCGGCUCACUGGUCCGAUACUGACGCUGAGGUGCGAAAGCGUGGGGAGCAAACAGGG